rnacentral:rRNA from 1 species
UACGUAGGGACCGAGCGUUGUCCGGAAUCACUGGGCGUAAAGGGCGUGUAGGCGGGAAGGAUAGUCAGAUGUGAAAUCCCUGGGCUCAACCCAGGAACUGCAUUUGAAACUCCCUUUCUUGAGUACCGGAGAGGAAGGUGGAAUACCUGGUGUAGAGGUGAAAUUCGUAGAUAUCAGGUGGAACACCAGUGGCGAAGGCGGCCUUCUGGACGGUAACUGACGCUGAGACGCGAAAGCGUGGGGAGCAAACAGG